UACGUAGGUGGCAAGCGUUGUCCGGAAUUAUUGGGCGUAAAGCGCGCGCAGGCGGUCUUUUAAGUCUGAUGUGAAAUCUCGGGGCUCAACCCCGAGCGGUCAUUGGAAACUGGGAGACUUGAGUACAGAAGAGGAGAGUGGAAUUCCACGUGUAGCGGUGAAAUGCGUAGAUAUGUGGAGGAACACCAGUGGCGAAGGCGACUCUCUGGUCUGUAACUGACGCUGAGGCGCGAAAGCGUGGGGAG
rnacentral:rRNA from 1 species